GCCAACAAACUAGCUCAGUUGGUCAGAACAUGGUGCUGAUGAUGUCAAGGUUGCAGGUUCGAUCCCCAUAUGUGGAAGCU